UCAGGGCAUCUGCACUCAGCUCCUCUGA
rnacentral:piRNA from 1 species